GACGAACGCUGGCGGCGUGCUUAACACAUGCAAGUCGAACGGUAAGGCCCUUCGGGGUACACGAGUGGCAAACGGGUGAGUAACACGUGGGUGAUCUGCCCUGCACUUCGGGAUAAGCCUGGGAAACUGGGUCUAAUACCGGAUAGGACCACUGCCUGCAUGGGUGGUGGUGGAAGGCUUUUGUGGUGUGGGAUGGGCCCGCGGCCUAUCAGCUUGUUGGUGGGGUGAUGGCCUACCAAGGCGACGACGGGUAGCCGGCCUGAGAGGGUGACCGGCCACACUGGGACUGAGAUACGGCCCAGACUCCUACGGGAGGCAGCAGUGGGGAAUAUUGCACAAUGGGCGCAAGCCUGAUGCAGCGACGCCGCGUGAGGGAUGACGGCCUUCGGGUUGUAAACCUCUUUCAGCUAUGACGAAGCGCAAGUGACGGUAGUAGCAGAAGAAGGACCGGCCAACUACGUGCCAGCCGCCGCGGUAA
rnacentral:rRNA from 1 species